rfam:Populus trichocarpa scaffold_1_contig_158, whole genome shotgun sequence.
UAAACUGUUUAGAGCAUGCACUCAUCUAGUUGUGGUAAACUCACACCUGACUACUCAGAAUCACUCAUUAUAAGCCCGACUACAUCAUUAACAUUGAAAAAUUAAAAACAAUAACUUUUUUAUAUUUUAAAUAGUCU